rnacentral:rRNA from 1 species
CCUACGGGUGGCUGCAGUGGGGAAUAUUGGGCAAUGGAGGCAACUCUGACCCAGCAAUGCCGCGUGAGUGAUGAAGGUCAUUUUAUUGUAAAGCUCUUUUCUUUGGAACGAAUAACUGACUGUACCAAAGGAAUCAGCCCCGGCUAACUACGUGCCAGCAGCCGCGGUAAUACGUAUGGAGCAAGCGUUAUCCGGAUUUACUGGGUGUAAAGGGAGAGUAGGUGGCAGAGCAAGUCCGAAGUGAAAACCCAAAGCUCAACUAUGGGAAUGCUUUAGAAACUGCUCAGCUAGAGUGCAGGAGAGGCAAGUGGAAUUCUUAGUGUAGCGGUGAAAUGCGUAGAUAUUAGGAGGAACACCAGUGGCGAAGGCGGCUUGCUGGACUGUAACUGACACUGAGGCUCGAAAGCGUGGGGAGCAAACAGGAUUAGAUACCCGGGUAGUC